AACGGCCAUACCAUGCUGAAUAUACCGUUUCUCGUUAGAUCACCGUAUACUAGCAAUAUGAAGUCAAGCAUCAUUGGGCGCUUGUAAUCAGUACUUGGGUGGUGACCACCUGGGAACACCA